GGGAGUAUUAUUAUUAUUAUUAUUUUUUAUCUUGAUUUUCCUUCUUACACAUUGAGGACAAUGUGUAUGUUAAGUGUGGGGGGAGAAUUGAGAUUAUAUACAUUGUAUGUGAUUGAAUUAUUAGUUGCAAAUAUUGGACUUGUGUUAAAAUUCAAAAUUUUUCUAAAAUCUUGUCCAAAAUUGCAAACUUGCCCCAAAAAGUUUCAUAUUUUUUCGAUUUUAUCCAAGGGGUACCAAGUUCCAUACCAUUAGUAGUUCAAAUUCCUCCUACAUUUGAGAUAAAUAUAUGUGAUUUGGAAACUUCUUUU
rnacentral:lncRNA from 1 species